rnacentral:rRNA from 1 species
UGACGUUAGCGGCGGACGGGUGAGUAACACGUGGGUAACCUACCUAUAAGACUGGAAUAACUCCGGGAAACCGGGGCUAAUGCCGGAUAACAUUUAGAACCGCAUGGUUCUAAAGUGAAAGAUGGUUUUGCUAUCACUUAUAGAUGGACCCGCGCCGUAUUAGCUAGUUGGUAAGGUAACGGCUUACCAAGGCAACGAUACGUAGCCGACCUGAGAGGGUGAUCGGCCACACUGGAACUGAGACACGGUCCAGACUCCUACGGGAGGCAGCAGUAGGGAAUCUUCCGCAAUGGGCGAAAGCCUGACGGAGCAACGCCGCGUGAGUGAUGAAGGGUUUCGGCUCGUAAAACUCUGUUAUUAGGGAAGAACAAACGUGUAAGUAACUGUGCACGUCUUGACGGUACCUAAUCAGAAAGCCACGGCUAACUACGUGCCAGCAGCCGCGGUAAUACGUAGGUGGCAAGCGUUAUCCGGAAUUAUUGGGCGUAAAGCGCGCGUAGGCGGUUUCUUAAGUCUGAUGUGAAAGCCCACGGCUCAACCGUGGAGGGUCAUUGGAAACUGGGAGACUUGAGUGCAGAAGAGGAAAGUGGAAUUCCAUGUGUAGCGGUGAAAUGCGCAGAGAUAUGGAGGAACACCAGUGGCGAAGGCGACUUUCUGGUCUGUAACUGACGCUGAUGUGCGAAAGCGUGGGGAUCAAACAGGAUUAGAUACCCUGGUAGUCCACGCCGUAAACGAUGAGUGCUAAGUGUUAGGGGGUUUCCGCCCCUUAGUGCUGCAGCU